ensembl:snRNA U2 U2 spliceosomal RNA
AUCACUUCUCCGCCUUUUGGCUAAUAUCAAGUGUAGUAUCUGUUCUUAUCAGUUUAAUAUCUGAUAUGUCCUCUUUCUGAGGACAAUAUGCUAACGGAUUUUUGGAGCAGGAAGAUGGAAUAGGACCUUGUUCUUUCCACUGCAGGCAUUCACCAGGUAUUGCAAUACCAGGAAAGGUGCACCCCCU